UACGGAGGGUGCAGGCGUUAUCCGGAUUCACUGGGUUUAAAGGGUGCGUAGGUGGGUUGGUAAGUCAGUGGUGAAAUCUCCGAGCUUAACUUGGAAACUGCCAUUGAUACUAUUAAUCUUGAAUAUUGUGGAGGUCAGCGGAAUAUGUCAUGUAGCGGUGAAAUGCUUAGAGAUGACAUAGAACACCAAUUGCGAAGGCAGCUGGCUACACAUAUAUUGACACUGAGGCACGAAAGCGUGGAGAUCAAACAGG
rnacentral:rRNA from 1 species